rnacentral:rRNA from 1 species
UACGGAGGGGGCUAGCGUUGUUCGGAAUUACUGGGCGUAAAGCGCGCGUAGGCGGCUUUGUAAGUUAGAGGUGAAAGCCCGGAGCUCAACUCCGGAAUUGCCUUUAAGACUGCAUCGCUAGAAUCAUGGAGAGGUGAGUGGAAUUCCGAGUGUAGAGGUAGAAAUUCGUAGAUAUUCGGGAAAGAACACCAGUGGCGAAGGCGACUCACUGGACAUGUAUUGACGCUGAGGUGCGAAAGCGUGGGGAGCAAACAGG